AGCAGCAGCCACGGGAAUACAGAGGGUGCGAGCGUUAAUCGGAUUUACUGGGCGUAAAGCGUGCGUAGGCGGCUUUUUAAGUCGGAUGUGAAAUCCCUGAGCUUAACUUAGGAAUUGCAUUCGAUACUGGGAAGCUAGAGUAUGGGAGAGGAUGGUAGAAUUCCAGGUGUAGCGGUGAAAUGCGUAGAGAUCUGGAGGAAUACCGAUGGCGAAGGCAGCCAUCUGGCCUAAUACUGACGCUGAGGUACGAAAGCAUGGGGAGCAAACAGGAUUAGAUACCCCUGUAGUCCCUGUCUCUUAUAC
rnacentral:rRNA from 1 species